rnacentral:rRNA from 1 species
AACGAACGCUGGCGGCAUGCCUAACACAUGCAAGUCGAACGAGACCUUCGGGUCUAGUGGCGCACGGGUGCGUAACGCGUGGGAACCUGCCCUUAGGUUCGGAAUAACUCCCCGAAAGGGGUGCUAAUACCGGAUAAUGUCUUCGGACCAAAGAUUUAUUGCCUUUGGAUGGGCCCGCGUUGGAUUAGCUAGUUGGUAGGGUAAAAGCCUACCAAGGCGUCGAUCCAUAGCUGGUCUGAGAGGAUGAUCAGCCACACUGGGACUGAGACACGGCCUAGACUCCUACGGGAGGCAGCAGUGGGGAAUAUUGGACCAUGGGCGAAAGCCUGAUCCAGCAAUGCCGCGUGAGUGAUGAAGGCCUUAGGGUUGUAAAGCGCUUUUACCCGGGAUGAUAAUGACAGUACCGGGAGAAUAAGCCCCGGCUAACUCCGUG